rnacentral:rRNA from 1 species
ACGCUCGACACCUACGGGAGCAGCAGUUGGGAAUAUUGGACAAUGGAGGAAACUCUGAUCCAGUGACGCCGCGUGAAGGAAGAAGGUCUUCGGAUUGUAAACUUAUUUUGUCAGGGAAGAAAAAUGACUGUACCUGAAGAAAAAGCACCGGCUAACUACGUACCACGCAGCCGCGGUAAUCUGAGCGGGCGUGGCAAGGCG